GUUUGAUGGCGACCGGCGCACGGGUGAGUAACACGUAUCCAACCUGCCGAUGACUCGGGGAUAGCCUUUCGAAAGAAAGAUUAAUACCCGAUGGCAUAGUUCUUCCGCAUGGUGGAACUAUUAAAGAAUUUCGGUCAUCGAUGGGGAUGCGUUCCAUUAGGUUGUUGGCGGGGUAACGGCCCACCAAGCCUUCGAUGGAUAGGGGUUCUGAGAGGAAGGUCCCCCACAUUGGAACUGAGACACGGUCCAAACUCCUACGGGAGGCAGCAGUGAGGAAUAUUGGUCAAUGGACGAGAGUCUGAACCAGCCAAGUAGCGUGAAGGAUGACUGCCCUAUGGGUUGUAAACUUCUUUUAUACGGGAAUAAAGUGAGGCACGCGUGCCUUUUUGUAUGUACCGUAUGAAUAAGGAUCGGCUAACUCCGUGCCAGCAGCCGCGGUAAUACGGAGGAUCCGAGCGUUAUCCGGAUUUAUUGGGUUUAAAGGGAGCGUAGGCGGACGCUUAAGUCAGUUGUGAAAGUUUGCGGCUCAACCGUAAAAUUGCAGUUGAUACUGGGUGUCUUGAGUACAGUAGAGGCAGGCGGAAUUCGUGGUGUAGCGGUGAAAUGCUUAGAUAUCACGAAGACUCCGAUUGCGAAGGCAGCUUGCUGGACUGUAACUGACGCUGAUGCUCGAAAGUGUGGGUAUCAAA
rnacentral:rRNA from 1 species